rnacentral:rRNA from 1 species
CAGUAGCCACGGGAAUACGUAGGGCGCAAGCGUUAUCCGGAAUUAUUGGGCGUAAAGAGCUCGUAGGCGGUUUGUCGCGUCUGCCGUGAAAGUCCGGGGCUCAACCCCGGAUCUGCGGUGGGUACGGGCAGACUAGAGUGAUGUAGGGGAGACUGGAAUUCCUGGUGUAGCGGUGAAAUGCGCAGAUAUCAGGAGGAACACCGAUGGCGAAGGCAGGUCUCUGGGCAUUAACUGACGCUGAGGUACGAAAGCAUGGGGAGCAAACAGGAUUAGAUACCCGAGUAGUCCCUGUCUCUUAUAC